CAUACCUGUACAGCCUGAUACUUUACUGAAUAUACCAUAAGCAGUUGUAACACAAUGUAAGUACUUGUGUACCUGAACAUAGAGAAGGUACAGUAAGAAUAGAGUAUAAGAUAUUUUAAAAUGGUACUCCUGUAUAGGGCACUUACCAUGAAAGGAGCUUGCAGGACUGGAAAUUUUGGCUUUUGUUGCCAUUGCUUUUGGUGUUUUAGACAUGAAGUCCUUGCCCAUGCCUAUGUCCUGAAUGGUAAUGCCUAGGUUUUCUUCUAGGGUUUUUAUGGUUUUAGGUCUAACGUUUAAGUCUUUAAUCCAUCUUGAUGCCCAGCUUUGGUAUGAGAAUGACACUGGCCUCAUAAAAUGAGUUAGGGAAGACUCCCUCUUUUUCUAUUGAUUGGAAUAGUUUCAGAAGGAAUGGUACCAGUUCCUCCUUAUACCUCUAGUAGAAUUGGCAUGCACCUGUAGUCCCAGCUACUCAAGAGGCUGAGGCAGGAGAAUCGCUUGAACCCAGGAGGCAGAGGCAGAGGUCGCAGUGAGCCAAGAUUGCGUCACUGCACUCCAGACUCAAAAUAUAUAUAUAUAUAUAUAUAUAUAUAUAUAUAUAUAUAUAUAUAUAAUCAUUAUUUCUCAAAUAUUAUGUCUUCUUCAUUCUUUCAAUUAUGUUUCUGAAACUACCAAUAAUUGUGUUUUAGAUCUUUUCCAUAAUCUAAAUCUCUCAUUUUCCACCUCAAAAGUGCUGGGAUUACAGGCGCGAGCCACCAUGCCCAGCCUGGUCCAUUAUUUUAGUAAAUGUUUAGCCCUCCAAGGCUUCCAGUUUUGCAGGAUGACAAUAAUCAGAGGGGACGAGGAAAGAAACUUUCUUCUAACUCUCUGCCUGGAGUGUUUAUUUUCUUUCUUUUAAGGGAUGUUACUGGCUGGUUUUACAAUUAGGAAUGUUCCAUUCAUCAAUGAACAUGUCCAUGUUCCUAACGCAUGGUCUUCAAUUUUAAAAUGAGAUUAUAUUCUCCAGUAGAAAGUAUGAACCAAGGAGAAAAUUGAAAAGUUCUCUCUUUUAAAAUGAAUUAUGCAGUUUUUAAGUUAUUUUCUUUGGCAUGUUAGUAUUGUAUUUAUACUUAUCACGUUAAUCUUUUUGACUUUUUAAUAAUAGCCAUUCUGCCUCCUGUGAGGUUGUAUCUCAUUGCACUUUUGUUUUGCAUUUCUCUAAUGAUUAGUGAUGUUGAAUAUUUUUCCGUAUACUUGUUGACUACAUGUUUGUCUUCUUUUGAGAAUUGUCUUGUCCUGUCCUUUGCCCAUUUAAUGGGGUUGUUAGAUUUUUGCUUGUUGAUUUUUCUAAGUUCUUUUUGGAUUCUGGAUAUUAGACUUUUGUCGAAUGCAUGGUUUGCAAAUAUUUCCUCCCAUUCCAUAGGUUGUUUGUUGAUGAUUUCUUUUGCUGUGCAGAAGCCCUUUAGUUUAAUUAGGUCCCAUUUGUCAAUUUUUGUUUUGUUGCAAUUGCUUUUGGCAUCUUUGUCAUAAAGUGUUUUCCAGAAUUGA
rnacentral:lncRNA from 10 species